rnacentral:misc_RNA from 1 species
ACACCUCAACUCUUCAUGGUUUUCUGUGAUGAGCUUGGACUUUGGGGGUUUUGCUGGCCUGCGGGUCGGCUCCUCUAAAAUGAAUCAGCUUGCCAGUGUUUGGUGGGCAUCACAGGUGUGAUAACUAUCUACGCUUGUGGUUUUCCACCAGGUAACCUUCAGCAGUGGAGGUUCGCUGGAGCUCACAGAUGUCUCUCCUCAGUGAGGACAACCCUUUGAAU